UGUUUCAAGUUAUUCUGCUAAUCCAGCUGAAAGGGAAACAGAUGAAGUGGUUCUGAGGAGAAGACAAAAACAGAUCAAUUUUGGGAAGAAUACCCUUGCAUAUGACAGAUACAUUAAAGAAGUUCCAAAGAAUCAGCGAAUACCAGGAGUUCAUCCUAGAACUCCCAACAAAUUUAAGAAGUACAGCCGUAGAUCCUGGGACCAGCAGAUCAGGCUGUGGAAGAUAGCAUUGCAUGCCUGGGAUCCUCCUACUGAAGAAACCUGGGAUCUGCAGCCAGUUCCCUGUUCUCCCGAUUCUUCUCCAGUAUGGAAACGCAGAAAAAGAAACCAUUCUGACUCCUCUGUGGUUUCAAAGAGCAAAAGCCAUUAUGUGCAUACGUACCACACACUGGAAAGUCUUAAUGAGUCAGGACAUCAGGAGGCUUUUUCAGCAUGCUCAGAGUGGGA